rnacentral:rRNA from 1 species
GGGGGGGGGGGGGGGGGGGGCGGGGGGGGGGGGGGGGGGGGCGGGGGGGGGGGGGGGGCGGGGCGGGGGGGGGUGGCGGGCGGGUGGGUAACGCGGGGGUAACCUGCCUGGUAGCGGGGGAGAACUCGGGGAGACGAUAGCUAGUACCGCAUAACGAUGGAUGGCACGUGUCGUUUAUUUGCAGGGGGCACUUGUGCCACUACAAGAUGGACCUGCGUUGUCUUAGCUAGUAGGUGAGGUAAUGGCUCACCUAGGCGACGAUACAUAGCCGACCUGAGAGGGUGAUCGGCCACCCUGGGACUGAGACACGGCCCAGACUCCUACGGGAGGCAGCAGUAGGGAAUCUUCGGCAAUGGGGGCAACCCUGACCGAGCAACGCCGCGUGAGUGAAGAAGGUUUUCGGAUCGUAAAGCUCUGUUGUAAGUCAAGAACGGGUGUGAGAGUGGAAAGUUCACACUGUGACGGUAGCUUACCAGAAAGGGACGGCUAACUACGUG